rnacentral:lncRNA from 1 species
GAUGAUGAGUCACUACGUAUUUUCAUCCUAAUGAAACCCUAGCCGUCUCUUUUACUCAUUACUUUUUUCUAAUUUUUUACUCUUUGUUUUCUACUCUUUUUUUUUUCAUUUUAUUUCCGCCAACAAUAUUUCAUUGUCAUCAUCAUCAUCAGUGUCAUCAUCAUCAUCAUCAGCGACAAUAUUUCUUUUGAAUGAAUUUUAUUGGACGGUACAACUUAUUAGAAUGCGAGUUUUUUUAUAGUGUGCUAUAUAAUUUGUCUAUUGACUAUUUAAUAAAGUUUAUAAAAAAAAUAUAUUUAUACGGAUAUCCGUACCCGAUCUAGACCCGAUCUAUAUCCGGUCUUGAACGGAUAGUAUACGGGUAGUCACUACCUAGACCCGCUCAAAUAGACCCGAUGGGUAUAGUAGUAACUUUAGUACCUAGAUCCAGACCCGACCCGAAGUUAAAUGGGUAGGGUAUAUAUAUUUUUUUGUAACCAUUUCUUUUUAGGGUAUGGGUACAGUAUAUUAAUUACCCAGACCCGACCCGGUCUACAGACAUCUUUAAUAUAAAUAAAUAAAUAUAGAUGGUAAUAAAUGUACUAAUUAAGGAUUGUCAAU